rnacentral:rRNA from 1 species
UGGGGAAUUUUGGACAAUGGGGGCAACCCUGAUCCAGCCAUGCCGCGUGAGUGAAGAAGGCCUUCGGGUUGUAAAGCUCUUUCGGCCGGGACGAAAUCGCAUGGGCUAAUACCCUGUGCGGAUGACGGUACCGGAAUAAGAAGCACCGGCUAACUACGUGCCAGCAGCCGCGGUAAUACGUAGGGUGCGAGCGUUAAUCGGAAUUACUGGGCGUAAAGCGUGCGCAGGCGGUUUUUUAAGAUAGGCGUGAAAUCCCCGGGCUUAACCUGGGAACUGCGCUUAGGACUGGAAGACUAGAGUACGGCAGAGGGGGGUGGAAUUCCACGUGUAGCAGUGAAAUGCGUAGAGAUGUGGAGGAACACCAAUGGCGAAGGCAGCCCCCUGGGCCGAUACUGACGCUCAUGCACGAAAGCGUGGGGAGCAAACA